GUGAAUCAUCGAAUCUUUGAACGCAAAUUGCACUCUCUGGUAUUCCGGAGAGUAUGCCUGUUUGAGGGUCAGUUUAAAUAAAAAUCGGUGUGGUUGUUGCCUUUCGUGGUGACGCACCGGAUUUGGGUCGUCUUGUCUUCGGUUUAGUGACCUAACCUUUUGGGUGAUUUUUUUCGAACGUAUUCAAAUGAUUUUACGUACGUUUGCGAUUUCGAAUACUAGGUGUGGUUUAUCUCAUGAUUCGCGCAU
rnacentral:misc_RNA from 1 species